AUGGCAACUCGAUGCAUGCUCAGAAGGGCGCGGGCAAAACUUGGUGGAUGAUACGGGGUGAAUAAAACGUGGAUAACCGCCGCCAUGCGGUUCGAUAGAAGUGCUGUCCAUGCAUGCACCCGUAAAGUUAACAGCAUCCAUGUGUGGAGGGCGAUAUCAAAUAGCUUACCCGUCACAGGAGCCUGUUGAUAUCACUUCUAUCAAGCCUUGGAGCAACGGAACGACACAUGUAAUAUUAAGCUAGCCACGCACUGUACGUCGGCCUUCAUACCGAGCACAACGAAUAAAACGACCCAACCAGAGCAAGGAAGAAGAGGAUUUCCCCCUUCUCUUCGCAUCUGCAGGUUCUACGCAGGAACUUCUAGCGUAUUCCAAUCCCGUUGCCAGGGGAGGGAUUGUGGGGUGGUGCUUACUCUGCGGAUGAAGCAUUCCAUUCAUUGGCCAUUUUGCUUCAUCGAAGCCUCAAAGAACGAACAGGCUCAUCGGCAGUUGAUUUCUGCUAACACGGAGAGGUCAGAGACACUGCACUAAAUCCCCCCUAACCAAUCGCCCUAAUCAGCUCUCUCCCCCAGGAUCAGGGAUCGGGCGAGCAGUCCGACUAAGCUGGGUGUGGGAUGGGACAGCGGGAGGUAUCUAUAUGGGCGCUCUCUGUGGUUCCUCAACUCUGCACGAAGGUCAAAUGCAGGGGCGGGAGUUCGGGAUCGACGACUUACAUAUAAGAGAGAGAGAGAGAGGAGAAAGUUGAAACAGGGCCUGCGUGGGCAUGUUUCGUGUCCAUGCGAUAGUUAUUAAUUUUCCUGAUCAUUUUGUUAUUUAUUUUAUUUUAUUUUAUUUUAUUUUAUUUUAUUUUAUUUUGCUCUGACU
rnacentral:sRNA from 1 species